UACGUAGGGAGCAAGCGUUGUCCGGAAUCAUUGGGCGUAAAGCGCGCGUAGGUGGCUUCAUAAGUCCGUUGUGAAAGUCAAAGGCUCAACCUUUGAAAGCCGAUGGAUACUGUGAAGCUAGAGUACGGAAGAGGCGAGUGGAAUUCCUGGUGUAGCGGUGGAAUGCGCAGAUAUCAGGAGGAACACCAAUAGCGAAGGCAGCUCGCUGGGACGGUACUGACGCUAAGGCGCGAAAGCGUGGGGAGCGAACAGC
rnacentral:rRNA from 1 species